rnacentral:rRNA from 1 species
AUUGAACGCUGGCGGCAGGCCUAACACAUGCAAGUCGAACGCGUGGCGGACGGGUGAGUAAUGUCUGGGCCACUGCCCGAUGGAGGGGGAUCACUACUGGAAACGGUCGCUAAUACCGCAUACCCUCGGAUGUGCCCAGAUGGGAUUAGCUAGUCGGUGGGGUAACGGCUCACCUAGGCGACGAUCCCUAGCUGGUCUGAGAGGAUGACCAGCCACACUGGAACUGAGACACGGCCCAGACUCCUACGGGAGGCAGCAGUGGGGAAUAUUGCACAAUGGGCGAAAGCCUGAUGCAGCCAGGCCGCGUGUAUGAAGAAGGCCUUCGGGUUGUAAAGUACGUUCAGCGGGGAGGCGUUACUCGCAGAAGAAGCACCGGCGAACUCCGUGCCAGCAGCCGCGGUAAUAC